AGAACGAACGCUGGCGGCAUGCCUAACACAUGCAAGUCGAACGCUUUUGGGGCUUCGGUCCCAAAGGAGUGGCGCACGGGUGAGUAGCGCGUGGGAACCUGCCCUGUUGUGGGGGAUAACCGAGGGAAACUUCGGCUAAUACCGCAUACGCCCGGGGGAAACUCCGGGGAAAGAUUUAUCGCAGCAGGAGGGGCCCGCGUCGGAUUAGGUAGUUGGUGGGGUAACGGCCCACCAAGCCUGUGAUCCGUAGCUGGUCUGAGAGGAUGAUCAGCCACACUGGGACUGAGACACGGCCCAGACUCCUACGGGAGGCAGCAGUGGGGAAUAUUGGACAAUGGGCGCAAGCCUGACCGAGCGACGCCGCGUGGAGGAUGAAGGCCUUCGGGUUGUAAACUCCUGUCGAGGGGGAGGAAGGCGCAAGCUUGACCUAUCCCUGGAGGAAGCACGGGCUAAGUUCGUGCCAGCAGCCGC
rnacentral:rRNA from 1 species